rnacentral:rRNA from 1 species
GACAGAGGGUGCAAACGUUGUUCGGAAUUACUGGGCGUAAAGGGCGCGUAGGCGGUCUUGCAAGUCCUGUGUGAAAUCCCUCGGCUCAACUGAGGAACUGCACAGGAAACUGCUUGGCUUGAGUUCGGGAGAGGGAAGCGGAAUUCCGGGUGUAGCGGUGAAAUGCGUAGAUAUCCGGAGGAACACCGGUGGCGAAGGCGGCUUCCUGGACCGACACUGACGCUGAGGCGCGAAAGCUAGGGGAGCAAACGGG